CGGUCAAGCAAGUAAGUGCACAGUGGUGGAUGCCUAGGCACAAGCCGGCGAUGAAGGACGUGGCAAGCUGCGAUAAGCCUCGGGGAGCUGCAAGCGAGCUUAGAUCCGGGGAUUUCCGAAUGGGGAAACCCGAUGGGGGUCAUACUCCAUCACCCGAAAGGGAGCUAACCCAGGGAACUGAAACAUCUAAGUACCUGGAGGAAAAGAAAUCAAAAGAGAUUCCCUAAGUAGCGGCGAGCGAACGGGGAAGAGCCCAAACCGGCGGGGGUAACCCUCUGCCGGGGUUGUGGGGCCCUAGAGGAUCAGAUCAAAAGCGUAGCAGAACGCGCCUGGAAUGGCGGACCAGAGUGGGUGACAGUCCCGUACGCGAAACGUAAGUAGAGAAGAGCUAGGGUACCCGAGUAGGCCGGGGCACGAGAAAUCCCGGUUGAAUCUGGGGGGACCAUCCCCCAAGGCUAAAUACGAGCUUGUGACCGAUAGUGAAGAGUACCGUGAGGGAAAGGUGAAAAGAACGCCUGACGGCGAGUGAAAUAGAACCUGAAACCGUGUGCAUACAAGCGGUAGGAGCCCGGCAUCUGCUACGGCAGAUGCGUGGGUGACUGCGUGCCUUUUGCAUUAUGAUCCGGCGAGUUACUCCUCACGUGCGAGGUUAAGGCCUUAAGGGCCGGAGCCGAAGCGAAAGCGAGUCUGAAAUGGGCGUUGAGUACGUGGGGGUAGACCCGAAACCGAAGCGAUCUAUCCAUGGCCAGGUUGAAGCCGGGGUAAUACCUGGUGGAGGACCGAACCGUUGUGGGUUGAAAACUGCUCGGAUGAGCUGUGGAUAGGGGUGAAAGGCCAAUCAAGCUCGGAGAUAGCUGGUUCUCCCCGAAAUAUAUUUAGGUAUAGCCUCAGGAAUUUUGUCCGGGAGGUAGAGCACUGAAUGGGUUAGGGACCCUACCCGGUUACCGACCCCAAUCAAACUCCGAAUGCCCGAGACAUGGACCCUGGGAGUCAGUGGGCGAGCGAUAAUGUCCGUCCGCGAGAGGGAAACAACCCAGACCGUCAGCUAAGGCCCCUAAGUGUGUGCUAAGUGAGAAAGGAUGUGGAUUUGCAGAGACAACUAGGAGGUUGGCUUGGAAGCAGCCAUUCCUUUGAAGAGUGCGUAACAGCUCACUAGUCAAGUGGAUCCGCGCCGAUAAUGGUCGGGACUCAAGCACACCGCCGAAGCUACGGAUGCGACCCCGCGUUCGCGUGGGGAAACAUGGUAGGGGAGCAUUCCCUGGGCGUCUGAAGCGGACCCGUGAGGGCUUCCGUGGAGCGCAGGGAAGAGAGCAUGCCGGAAUGAGUACGCGAUAAACAGAGUGAGAAUCUCUGUCACCGAAAGCCUAAGGGUUCCGGAGCCAGGCUUAUCCGCUCCGGGUUAGUCGGUCCCUAAGCUCAGGCCGAAGGGCGUAGGCGAUGGGAAACAGGUCAAUAUUCCUGUACCGCAGUGUGCGCGUUUGACCCUAAGGGGGGACGCGGAAGUGACAGGACCGUCGGGUGGUGGAAUAUCCGAUGUAAGGUGGUAGGCGAUGGGGGGUAGGCAAAUCCGCCUCCUUAGCCGAGCGCCGAUGCCGAAGGGGACCUCGGUCCCCGCAAAGGGUCCGUAAUCAUGCCGCCAAGAAAAGCCUCGUAGGGGAGUUCACAUUGCGACCGUACCGUAAACGGACACACGUAGGCGAGGCGAGAAGCCUAAGGUGCUCGAGUGAAUUGUGGAGAAGGAACUCGGCAAAAUGUCCCCGUAACUUCGGGAGAAGGGGAGCCCGUGUUAGGUGAACCCGCUGCAUGGGGGAGCCGAAGCGGGCCGCAGAGAAUCGGCCCAGGCGACUGUUUAGCAAAAACACAGGUGCCUGCAAAGUCGCUGAGACGACGUAUAGGCACUGACGCCUGCCCGGUGCCGGAAGGUUAAAGGGAAGGGUUAGGAUUCGUCCGAAGCUCCAAACUGAAGCCCCGGUAAACGGCGGCCGUAACUAUAACGGUCCUAAGGUAGCGAAAUUCCUUGUCGGGUAAGUUCCGACCUGCACGAAUGGCGUAACGAUCUGGGCGCUGUCUCCUCCACAAGCUCGGCGAAAUUGGAGUCUCGGUGAGGAUACCGAGUACCCGCGACAGGACAAAAAGACCCCGUGCACCUUUACUACAACCUGCUAUUGGGUCUUGGCACCGCAUGUGUAGGAUAGGUGGGAGGCUUUGAACCAGGGCCGCUAGGUUCUGGGGAGCCAACAGUGAAAUACCACCCUUGUGAUGUUGAGGCUCUAACCCAGGGGAGUGAAUCCUCCUCGGGGACCGUGGCAGGCGGGUAGUUUGACUGGGGCGGUCGCCUCCCAAAGAGUAACGGAGGCGCGCAAAGGUUCCCUCAGUGCGGUCGGUAAUCGCACGAAGAGCGUAAAGGCAUAAGGGAGCUUGACUGCGAGAUCGACGGAUCGAGCAGGUACGAAAGUAGGCCUUAGUGAUCCGGCGGUUCCGAAUGGAAGGGCCGUCGCUCAACGGAUAAAAGGUACGCCGGGGAUAACAGGCUUAUCGCCCCCGAGAGUUCACAUCGACGGGGCGGUUUGGCACCUCGAUGUCGGCUUAUCGCAUCCUGGGGCUGGAGAAGGUCCCAAGGGUCGGGCUGUUCGCCCGUUAAAGCGGUACAUGAGCUGGGUUCAGAACGUCGUGAGACAGUUCGGUCUGUAUCCGUCGUGGGCGUUGGAGUGUUGAGGAGAGCGUUCCCUAGUACGAGAGGACCGGGAAGGACCGACCACUAGUGUACCGGUUGUCGCGCCAGCGGCAUCGCCGGGUAGCUACGUCGGGAAGGGAUAACCGCUGAAAGCAUCUAAGUGGGAAGCCCCCUCCGAGAUGAGCACUCCCAGGGUCUUCGGACCCUCAGAAGGGCUGUACGAGACUAGUACGUUGAUAGGCGGCAGGUGGAAGCGUGGUAACAUGUGAAGCCGAGCCGUACUAAUCGCCCGUGAGGCUUGACCG
rnacentral:rRNA from 1 species